AAGUCUGAUGGAGCACACCGCGUGCAGGAUGACGGUCUUCGGUUUGUAAACUGCUUUUAUAGAUGAAGAUUAUGACGGUAAUCUAUGAAUAAGGACCGGCUAACUACCUGCCAGCAGCCGCGGUAAUACGUAGGGUCCAAGCGUUAUCCGGAAUCACUGGGCGUAAAGCGUGCGUAAGUGGCGUGUCAAGUGUGAUGUUAAAUCGUGGGGCUCAACCCUGUCGAUGCAUCACAUACUGGCACACUAAAGGACGGCAGAGGCAAGUGGAAUUUGUAGUGUAGCAGUGAAAUGCGUAUAGAUUACAAGGAACACCAAUGGCGAAGGCAGCUUGCUGGGCCAAUCCUGACACUGAGGUACGAAAGCGUGGGGAGCGAACAGGAUUAGAUACCCUGGUAGUCCACGCCGUAAACGAUGCAUACUAUUUAUUUGGGGUAUCGACCCCCUGGGUAAAGUAGCUUACGCGAUAAGUAUGCCGCCUGGGAAGUACGGCCGCAAGGCUAAAACUCAAAUGAAUUGACGG
rnacentral:rRNA from 1 species